rnacentral:rRNA from 1 species
UACGUAGGGUGCAAGCGUUGUCCGGAAUUAUUGGGCGUAAAGAGCUUGUAGGCGGUUUGUCGCGUCUGCUGUGAAAUUUCGGGGCUCAACCCCGAACUUGCAGUGGGUACGGGCAGACUAGAGUGUGGUAGGGGAGACUGGAAUUCCUGGUGUAGCGGUGAAAUGCGCAGAUAUCAGGAGGAACACCAUAGCGAAGGCAGCUCGCUGGGACGGUACUGACGCUAAGGCGCGAAAGCGUGGGG